UACGUAGGUGGCAAGCGUUAUCCGGAAUUAUUGGGCAUAAAGAGCGCGCAGGUGGUUGAUUAAGUCUGAUGUGAAAGCCCACGGCUUAACCGUGGAGGGUCAUUGGAAACUGGUCGACUUGAGUGCAGAAGAGGGAAGUGGAAUUCCAUGUGUAGCGGUGAAAUGCGUAGAGAUAUGGAGGAACACCAGUGGCGAAGGCGGCUUCCUGGUCUGCAACUGACACUGAGGCACGAAAGCGUGGGGAGCAAACAGGAUUA
rnacentral:rRNA from 1 species